CGGCCCGUAGCACAAUGGCAGUGCACCAAGCUUAUAUCUUGGCGGUUGUAGGUUCGACUCCUACCGGGCCGA
rnacentral:tRNA from 1 species